rnacentral:rRNA from 1 species
GAUGAACGCUGGCGGCGUGCCUAACACAUGCAAGUCGAGCGGUGCAGUUUGAAGCUUCGGUGGAAAGCUGCAUAGCGGCGGACGGGUGAGGAAAACGUGGAACGUGCCCCUUGGAGUUGGAUAGCCACGGGAAACUGUGGGAAACCACAUAGACUCGAGAGAGUAAAGGCCGAAAGGCGCCAAAGGGGAGCGGCCUGCGGCCCAUCAGGUAGUUGGUAGUGUAAAGGACCUACCAAGCCGACGACGGGUAGCCGGUCUGAGAGGAUGGCCGGCCACAAGGGCACUGAGAGACGGGCCCUACUCCUACGGGAGGCAGCAGUGGGGGAUUUUGGACAAUGGGCGAAAGCCUGAUCCAGCGACGCCGCGUGGAGGACGAAGCCCUUGGGUGUAAACUCCUUUUCUCAGGGAAAAAGGAUGAUGGUACCUGAGGAUAAGCCCGGCUAACUACGUGCCAGCAGCCGCGGUAAGCACGAAGUUA